GAGGGGCCAGUCCCGAGGGGACGGGGCUCCAACCUCACCUUCCUGCUGUCGUGGAGAAGAAAAGUGGUAAUGACCGCUACUGUGCACUGGGCUCUCGCUCUGUGCUUUGCUUGUGUUUGCUCAGUUAAUCCUCCCAACAUGCCUCUAAGGCACCUAUGGGCAACAAGGUCUCCAAGGAAACUCCAGAACAUUCUGUGGGUUUCAGUGGUUACCUGCUGAGGCGGCAUUGGGCAUGGAGCAUCCGAGGGUCCAAGGGUUCUUCUCAGCCACCGUCAACAACCCCAGCUGCUACCAAGGUGCAAGAACACACAGGCUGCUGUGAAAGGACUGUAGGGGGCAAGGGCAGAGGAAGGGGCCAGCCAGGAGGCUUCCAAAAUAAUCCAGGCAGGAGAGGAUGGUGGCCUGGACAAGGGUGGCAGGUGGAGGAAACUGGCUGGAUUCCAGAAAUUCUCCCAUUUCGGCACCCAGACUCCAUGCAGAGUAGAAAUGGAUGCUCUUGGCUGGGUGCGGGGGCUUGUGCCUGUCAUCCCAGCACUUUGGGAGGCUGAGGCAGGUGAAUCAUGAAGUCAGGAGAUCGAGACCAUCCUGGCUAAUACAGUGAAACCCUGUCUCUACUAAAAAUACAAAAAAUUAGCCGGGUGUGGUGGCACGCGCCUGUAGUCCCAGCUACUCAAGAGGCUGAGGCAGGAGAAUCGCUUGAACCAGGGAGGCGGAGGUUGCAGUGAGCUGAGAUCAGGCCACUGCACUCCAGCCUGGGUGACAGAGAGAGACUCUGUCUCAAAAAAAAAAAAAAAAAGAUGCUCUUGAAUUUGAGUUCUGAAAUUUUGCAUCCUGUUCCCCAUGUGGCGGCCCAGCCAUUUUUCCCUUAGGGUGAGUGGGCCUGUGAAACCAGGAGAGCGCUGCUGUGCGUCUAGUCGUCGGGGGCAUAUUGAUCGAUUUAUUUGACCCUCUGCAGGAGGUGUGCUGAAUGUCCCAUUCCCCGGUGCUGCCAGCUCCUCAGAGCUCUGUAGGUUACCCCGUGAGACCUUCUCCCUGCACGCCUUUUUUUCUCUAAUAGAAAUACCUGCUACCUGUUGCCUUCUUCCCUGCAGGAUCACAAGCGCUUGCCCAGUGCCUGGCAUAGAGGCGGCCAUAGCUGGACUCCUACCCUGUUCCAGGCACUGAACCUUCAUUUGCCCUGAGACGUCAGGGUGGUCUUAGGACCAUGUUUCCAGGGAGGACACAGAGGCACAGGGGCAUGAGGACCCUGCCCUGGGUGGUGGCAGAGCUGGGAUUUGAACCCGGGUUUGCAUGACUCCCAGCCCUGUUCCUGUCCUCUCAGGGGCUGCACCCUCCCCCUGCCCCUUCCUCCUCCCCCUCCUACCAGGCAGGGCUGAGCCAGACUGGGGUUCCAAAGCCCUUCCUCCUUCUCGAUCCAGAGAUAAAUAUUUGUUUCUCCAGUGUAAAUAGCCCUUCGUGUUUAAUGAGGCAAUCCUAGGGCCAUUUCCUGGCACGGCUCAGGGCCUGGAGGUCUUUCUCGCUCUGGGAGGAACAGUCCUAGGAGGAGAGCCGCUGAGGAGGGGCUCAGGGCCUCUGAGAAAAUCCUUCCAUUUACAGAUGAGGAAACUGCCGCUCAGAGACGGCAGCCGACCCAGCCAAGGCCGCACAGCCAGGAUUCAAAGCCAUACCGCUCAGCUCCUGCCUCCAGGCUCUGCCUUUGCAUGUGGCUUCUCCUGGCUCCUGGACCCUUCCCCGGCCCUCCCAGCUGGCUGUGCUGUGACAGUGGGCGGGGGAGUGCCAAGGCUCUGCCCUGCCCCCCGCCCUUGGCAUCUCCGGUCAAUAUGGCACUCACAGCUCCCUGGGCAUGGACCCCCUCCUGCCAUCCCCACUUAAAGUGAUACUUUAAUAAAUUAUGCUUUUAUGUUAUUACACGUGGAGCUAUAAAAGCAGAGAGUGUGCGGCCGGGCUGAGGUAAGGCGCCCGCGACUUUCCAAUUUCCUGGUCUGGCCUGGCUCUGCUCCGCACCGUGA
rnacentral:lncRNA from 10 species